CGAAUAUCUGUUUUAACUUUUCCUUGUAAUAUUAUAGCGUAUUAAAUUGUUUAAAUCACAUAAAGCUCGGUAUAUUAACUCUUUUAGUUUCAGUAGAAGUUCUGACUCUAAAUAAGAAACAACGUUAUGGACAUUAAACAUUUUGGUAUUUUGCUAUUUAUAUUAACUGUGGGCAAGUCCGUGGCAGUCGUUUUGGACGGACUCUGUUCUGGCAACCUGGAGAGCCGGUGUAACGAAUUUUGUCACCAAAAAUUAGGGCCAUUGAGAGAUAAUGAAGCUAAAAUUCAAAAUCUUUUGAAGGAUUGUGAUAGCACGAAUCUGCAAGGAAACGCCAAAAACAGACUUGACAAAAUUGAGAAUCAGUUUAAACUCCUUAAACAAAAUUACACCGCCACAAAUAUGGAAAAUCGAGAAAAUUAUCUACUAAGUCAAUCGUUCCAGAAAAUUGGAAACAAAUUUUAUUACAUUGAAAAGAGGGAGAAAUUUAAUUGGUUCGGAGCUUUAAACAAAUGUAUUCGCUUGAGCGGGCAUCUCGCUAGUUUUCAAAAUGAAAAGGAGUUCAAAGCCUUAGAGCCCCACUUAAUCAAAAAUAUUUGGUAUUGGCUCGACAUAAAUGAUCUUAGCGUUACCGGAAAACAAAUUUCGAUGACGACGGGUCGUCAACCGGCCUACGUGUAUUGGAGUAAAGGCGAACCAAACAAUAAUAACGAAGUGGAGCAUUGUACUCAUUUAUGGACACAUGUUACAGGUGAUUGGGAAAUGAAUGACUUAGAGUGUUCCCAUUAUCAUCGUUUUAUCUGUGAAGCUUCAUAACUUAUAAAUGAUGCCUAAAAAUAUCAAAUAAAAUCUAUCGCACAUAUCAA